UUUUCUCUCACCCAUUGUGUCUUUUCCAGGGAGACUGGUGGAGAUGAUGUAAUCUACAGUCAAGCUACACAUGUUAAAGCUAAGAAGAAAUCAAAGACUCGUAGCAGGGAGACCGGCGAAGCUGAUGUUGUGUACAGUGUAGCAACGCAUGUUAAAGCAAAGAGGAAGCCGGGGACAGGUUGCGGG